rnacentral:rRNA from 1 species
GACGAACGCUGGCGGCGUGCUUAACACAUGCAAGUCGAACGGAAAGGCCCUGCUUUUGUGGGGUGCUCGAGUGGCGAACGGGUGAGUAACACGUGAGUAACCUGCCCUUGACUUUGGGAUAACUUCAGGAAACUGGGGCUAAUACUGGAUAGGAGCUCCUGCUGCAUGGUGGGGGUUGGAAAGUUUCGGCGGUUGGGGAUGGACUCGCGGCUUAUCAGCUUGUUGGUGGGGUAGUGGCUUACCAAGGCUUUGACGGGUAGCCGGCCUGAGAGGGUGACCGGCCACAUGGGGACGGAGAUACGGCCGAGACUCCUCCGGGAGGCAGCAGGGGGGAAUAUUGCACAAUGGGCGGAAGCCUGAUGCAGCAACGCCGCGUGCGGGAUGACGGCCUUCGGGGUGUAAACCGCUUUCGCCUGUGACGAAGCGUGAGUGACGGUAAGGGGUAAAGAAGCACCGGCUAACUACG